GAUGAACGCUGGCGGCGUGCCUAAUACAUGCAAGUCGAGCGAACAGAUGAGGAGCUUGCUCCUCUGACGUUAGCGGCGGACGGGUGAGUAACACGUGGAUAACCUACCUAUAAGACUGGGAUAACUUCGGGAAACCGGAGCUAAUACCAGAUAAUAUAUUGAACCGCAUGGUUCAAUAGUGAAAGACGGUUUUGCUGUCACUUAUAGAUGGAUCCGCGCCGCAUUAGCUAGUUGGUAAGGUAACGGCUUACCAAGGCAACGAUGCGUAGCCGACCUGAGAGGGUGAUCGGCCACACUGGAACUGAGACACGGUCCAGACUCCUACGGGAGGCAGCGGUAGGGAAUCUUCCGCAAUGGGCGAAAGCCUGACGGAGCAACGCCGCGUGAGUGAUGAAGGUCUUCGGAUCGUAAAACUCUGUUAUUAGGGAAGAACAAAUGUGUAAGUAACUAUGCACGUCUUGACGGUACCUAAUCAGAAAGCCACGGCUAACUACGUG
rnacentral:rRNA from 1 species